rnacentral:rRNA from 1 species
ACAUACGGCCAUAGGCGAAGUCCUGCUCUGGGUCUCGUUCGUUCCCCAAAUGAUAAACCUUCGACCGGCGGACUAGUAGUCAGGUGGGUGACCACUGGCGAAUCCCCGCUGUCGUAUGUU